GCCGAAGUGGCGGAACUGGCAGACGCGCUACGUUCAGGGCGUAGUGAGGGUGACCUCGUGUGGGUUCAAAUCCCACCUUCGGCACCA
rnacentral:tRNA from 7 species